rnacentral:sRNA from 1 species
AGAGGUAAGGUUAAUUUGGCUGUAACAUCCGCCACUCCAUUGAUGACUAAGGUUGAUUUGACUGAUAUUAUUGGCUAUCCAGGAGGUUCCUUCCUCUCUAACCACUCCAUAUGCCCCUCCUGAGCUGUGCACUGGUUUGGAGAGGGUGGCCUUCCCUUGUAGAGGAAGACUCAGUAAAGCAUGUCUGAAUAGCUGCACUCUUUACAAAUAUUCCCUAAUAAACAAUGAGACCUCUACUCCACGCCUUCUCUAACUCAACUUUCAACAUCGCAACUGCUGUCUUCUCCACAAUGUGGACCAAGUAUCAGC